rnacentral:misc_RNA from 1 species
GAUGAAGAACGCAGCGAAAUGCGAUAAGUAAUGUGAAUUGCAGAAUUCCGUGAAUCAUCGAAUCUUUGAACGCAUAUUGCGCCCUCUGGCAUUCCGGGGGGCAUGCCUGUCCGAGCGUCAUUGCUGCCCUCAAGCACGGCUUGUGUGUUGGGCCUCCGUCCUCCUCCCGGGGGACGGGCCCGAAAGGCAGCGGCGGCGCCGCGUCCGGUCCUCGAGCGUAUGGGGCUUCGUCACCCGCUCUUGUAGGCCCGGCCGGCGCUUGCCGACACAUCAAUCUUUUUUCCAGGUUGACCUCGGAUCAGGUAGGGAUACCCGCUGAACUUAAGCAUAUCAAUAAGCGGAGGA